AAAUGAAUAGACGGGGGCCCGCACAAGCGGUGGAUGAUGUGGAUUAAUUCGAUGCAACGCGAAAAACCUUACCUGGUCUUGACAUGUCGAGGAUCCUCCAGAGACGGAGGAGUGCCGCAAGGAACUCGAACACAGGUGCUGCAUGGCUGUCGUCAGCUCGUGUCGUGAGAUGUUGGGUUAAGUCCCGCAACGAGCGCAACCCUUGCCAUUAGUUGCCAUCCUUAAGUUGGGCACUCUAAUGGGACUGCCGGUGACAAACCGGAGGAAGGUGGGGAUGACGUCAAGUCCUCAUGGCCCUUAUGACCAGGGCUUCACACGUCAUACAAUGGUCGGUACAGAGGGUAGCUAAGCCGCGAGGUGGUGCCAAUCUCAGAAAACCGAUCGUAGUCCGGAUUGCAGUCUGCAACUCGACUGCAUGAAGUCGGAAUCGCUAGUAAUCGCGGAUCAGCAUGUCGCGGUGAAUACGUUCCCGGGCCUUGUACACACCGCCCGU
rnacentral:rRNA from 1 species